UGACUCAUCUUCUUCAUAAACAAUCUUUGGGAGGGGUUGCCCAGCACGCACGUGGUGAAAGGGGCGGGGCCACCCCGUCCUGCUGCUAACAUACGGAGGCGUGGCUGGUUCGUACACGUCAUCGACAGACAUUCAAAGCGCUCCACGAGCGUCUGAAAGGCUGGGGAGUUUGAUUCGUUUUGGUUUUUUUGGUACACGAGACAAACAAGCAGACGUGGAACAUGUCGACACACGGUGGUUAACGACUACGACACAGUACACGUUUAGUUGGAAGGAACGAGUAAUAGCACAGAUGCAUGUUGGGGAAGCCUGAAAGCCAGAGUCAGUUGAUCCCCGGCGGACGAUGUCAGCAGUGCGUGCAGUCACUCACGAACAUACCGACGGGGUAACGCAGAUGGAGAGAGAUCUGUGAAGUUUACAGUGAUGCAACCGUGCAGUCUACUACUGUAACAACCCAGUCUAUGCAGCAGGUUUCAAUGCAGUCACCCCCCGAUACUGCAGCAGCCCGGGAUGUUUAUUAGCCAUUGUGGACAGCUACCAUUUAGGGUUAAACACGGGCAGCCUGUCACAUACACGGACAUGUAUGUUUUGUGUGUGAGUUAAUACAAUUCUGCAACACGUCUUGACGCGAUAAACGAAUAUGAAAGUAAAACAAACAGGUCACAUUCUGGCUUGAACGCAAUCCUGUCAGUUGCUGCUUGUAUUUUAAUGUGAAAAACAACAAACCCGCGAUUUUCAGACUAUAAUCGGUUCAUGAAUGGCGUAAAUUGAUGUAACUCUGUGAUUCAGAAAACUUAAUCUCUCGGGCACACCUUUUCACUGGAUAACUGAGGAUUUGCCUGUGUAUUCGUCCGAGUUGACAGUGUAGCAGAGACACAAAGUAUAUUUCUAAUAAAAUACCAACUUAC